GAUAGGUAGCGUGACUAUCUCUGCGUGAGUUUCAAAGUUAAAAAAAUAUGUUUGUUUGUUUGUUUUUGUUUAGAGUAAAAAAAAAAAAAAAUAAAUAAAAAUAUAUAGGGAAUUUCCCUGUACGACAUAUUUGAUUUGAUUCAAGUGCCUUCUGCUUUAUCAUAGUAUUACAACGUAAUUAUAGAUGGCGUAGCGAACCUUCUACUUUCAAAUGAAGACGCAACAGCUUGGGAACAUGUUCGAAUAACUCCAGAACAUGAAUUUGAUGGCACAGAUAACCUCCCGACACUGUUCGUUCGCCCUUGGUUCCUGCAACACAACUGGUUCUAGUUCAAACAAGUUGAUGCAAUCGCUAUUCAAUCGCCAACACAUGAUAAUUAAAUUGCUGCUAACGGAGAGCAACUGAUAACUGUUUUCUUUUCAUUGUUAUCCUAAUAAUUGUUAAUGCCCAUCACAAUCCAUAUACCAGCAUGAAAAUCUGGUCUGGAAGAACAUAAAAUAGAGAAUUAUUAUUUUUUAUAUCCACUGGUAUAGGUCAUGUGAUAUCUGUCAAGUUCAUCUCAUCAUCGUGUCUUAGCGAUUCAAAAAAGAAAUCUGCAUGACUGCAGUUCUCAGCGUCUAAUAACGGCACGCACGGUGAAAGCGUGCACAUUUUUCUUUCUUUUGCACACACACACACAAAAAGAACUGCAUAGCGUUCGGGAAACAACAACAACAAAAAAAUUCGAAUACACGGGAAGUACUGGCGGUAUGUUCUUUUUUAUUCUUCCGUGUCUCACGCUUCGCAAAUCUAAAUAAACGGGUCGUAUAAUUUAUUCAACGACAAAAAAAGAGAAUCACGCAGAUCAUCAAUUGAAAGUUGAGUGCCUAUUUUUCAAUUAGUUUUUCUUCUUUUACGAGCGUUGCCUUUCACGAUAAUUUCAAAACCAUCAAAU